rnacentral:rRNA from 1 species
UACAGAGGGGGCAAGCGUUGUUCGGAAUUACUGGGCGUAAAGGGCGCGUAGGCGGCCUUCUAAGUCGAACGUGAAAUCCCCGGGCUCAACCCGGGAACUGCGUCCGAUACUGGUUGGCUUGAAUCCGGGAGAGGGAUGCGGAAUUCCAGGUGUAGCGGUGAAAUGCGUAGAUAUCUGGAGGAACACCGGUGGCGAAGGCGGCAUCCUGGACCGGCAUUGACGCUGAGGCGCGAAAGCCAGGGGAGCAAACGGG